rnacentral:rRNA from 1 species
CCUACGGGAGGCAGCAGUGGGGGAUAUUGCACAAUGGGGGAAACCCUGAUGCAGCGACGCCGCGUGAGUGAAGAAGUAUUUCGGUAUGUAAAGCUCUAUCAGCAGGGAAGAAAAUGACGGUACCUGACCAAGAAGCCCCGGCUAACUACGUGCCAGCAGCCGCGGUAAUACGUAGGGGGCAAGCGUUAUCCGGAUUUACUGGGUGUAAAGGGAGCGUAGACGGUUAUGUAAGUCUGGAGUGAAAGCACGGGGCCCAACCCCGGGACUGCUUUGGAAACUGUGUAGCUGGAGUACAGGAGGGGCAGGCGGAAGUCCUGGUGUAGCGGUGAAAGGCGUAGAUAUCAGGAGGAACACCGGCGGCGAAGGAGGCAUGCUGGACUGAAACUGACGUUGAGGCUCGAAAGCGUGGGGAGCAAACAGGAUUAGAUACCCGAGUAGUC